GACGAACGUUAGCGGCGCGCUUAACACAUGCAAGUCGAACGAGAAAGGAUGCCUUCGGGUAUCCCGGUAAAGUGGCGCACGGGUGAGUAACACGUGGGUAACCUACCCUGGGCGGGGGAUAACGUUCCGAAAGGGACGCUAAUACCGCAUAAGACCACGUCCUGAAACGGGAUGAGGUCAAAGUGGGCCAAAUCAUGAAAGCUCACACCUGGGGACGGGCCCGCGGCCCAUCAGGUAGUUGGUAGGGUAAUGGCCUACCAAGCCUAAGACGGGUAGCUGGUCUGAGAGGAUGAUCAGCCACACUGGAACUGAGACACGGUCCAGACUCCUACGGGAGGCAGCAGUGGGGAAUCUUGCGCAAUGGGCGAAAGCCUGACGCAGCGACGCCGCGUGAGUGAUGAAGGCCUUAGGGUUGUAAAGCUCUGUGGAGCGGGACGAA
rnacentral:rRNA from 1 species